UCGUCUUCCUCCGUUUUCCUCCUCUCUACGUGCUUUCAUUUCAUCCGUGUCGGCUUCCUCGUUUGCUCGGCUUCAGCACAAACGCUUCAUCUAGUAUUGGCAUCCACCUCGGCUCCGUUUGUUUGGUGAGAUACAAUUUCUUUUCUCCCCGGUCGUCUGCUCCUUCUCGGUGGGUAUCUGGUUCUAGAUUGGAAAUAUCCAACGCCCUCUCGCUUUUUAAAUCCUUCAAUCUUCCAUUUGUCUGCUUGGCACUGCUAGAUUCGUUUAGGUUUUCCCUACAGCGUGUGAAUAUGUCACUGCCUUUUUUGCAUAAAAUGGUUUGGAAAAUGUGCAAACUUCAUUUUUCUUUUUUUAGAUUCCACCCUUCUACCGAAAGGUCGUGUUCUCUUGUUUGUGCUCUCCAAUUUUGUUUUUUCUUUUUCCUGGGCUUCAGGGUUCGUUUCUUUUUCAGAAAAAAUGAUCCUUUUUGGUUGAGCUAAGUUUUCCUUUUUUAUCCUCGUCUGUUUUGUUUUUGGUGGACAUCUGAUUUCAUUCAGGUGAAACUGUUUGCAUCGAAGCGCAUACUUCAUUUUCCUUUUUUGUCGAUACAUUGAGGUUCGAAAAGGCCACUAUUUUACUUAGCUAAUUGAUUGAGCGUCUCUGUUCUUCAAACUUUUUUUCAAUGUUUAGGGUUUAGGGUUUCCCUGGUUUUAGCUUUUCAAGCUAUUCCUUGGUUUUUGUGCUCCAUUCUAAGACCUGUAUAUUGCUCGUAUUUCAUUUGACCAACAAACAUUGAGGUUCUAAGAUGCCACUAUUUUACUUUGUGCAUUGACUGAACGUCUCUAUUCUUCAAAUUUUCCCCAAAGUUUACUGUUUAUGCUUUUCCCUAGAUUUAGCUUUUGGAUUUAAUCCCUGGUUUCUCUGUUCCAUUCUAAGAUGUGUGUAUUGCCUGCGUUUCAUUUGGCCAACAAAACAGUUUUUGUGCCAUUUUUUAAAGUCAGACCUUACUCCUGUCCCUCUCCCCUCUUUAUUCUAUUCUCUGGCUAUCUGAUGUCGCUCCAUUUGUGCAACAGAAAAAAAACCUUGCACUUUCUUUCAUCUUGGAAUACGCUUGCUUUCAGUCUCCGUAUUGUAAUUGCCUGCUAAGUGAUUCACAACAUCUGGUGCAAAAAGAUAAUAGAGAAAAUAAACAAAAUUACAUAAAGGCUCGUAGCCAUUGGCUAAUUAGUGUAGUUCAUACUUCAUAGCCUUCUUUGCUACAAGAAUAACCUGAGCAAACUCAUUCCUAAAAUAUAUGUUGGAAAACGUUAUGUGCUGAAAAUACAUAGUGCGCACCGAACACUGCUAUUAUGUUCAUUAGAAAAAGGUACAUACCACUUAAACCAGUUAAGAAUCUGAAAAGGGUGACAGCGCCCAACCCAACAUAAUUUGUAAGUGUAUAGGUCAACUGCUUUGCUGAGUCAUGUAACGGAGAACAACUCUAGAUUUCUAAAAUGCUUUGGAUUCGUUAACAAACUUUGACUAUUUGCAAAUAACAGUGUUGCUAUUCUAAGAAGUAAUAGCAGUGUUGCUUCUGAUUUUCUACCUUUCCUUGAGUUCUUCGUCUUUAUUUUUUUGUUCACUUUACCCAAAUGUAGUUUUUAUUUCCUGCCCGUUCCGAACAUUUCCUUGUCUCUCAUUUUUUAUAUAUGUCUCCUAAGAUCAGUUCAUGCAUCCAACCCACAUUAAAAUCAACAGACAGGGUAUCUAUUGAUAAACAAAGGUAAUUACUAUUGCAGCUUGGGAUCAAACAGGGUUUACAGAUUUGUUGUAUUACUACGGGCAUGUAAAAAGGGUUAAUUCUAUGUUCUAAACUUAUUUCCCGACAUUCAGGCAGAAUUUGAUCCGGGCACAAGGAAUAAUAUAUCCUAUCCUUAGAGAUUUUACUACAAAGAUCGUUAGAGACUUCGCUAACGAGAAUGCAGCUUCCUACAAUGCUCGAUCUCAUUGUGGAUCACCGUCAUGCCAGUGUACUCACUACUCUGGAUCUCGAUCCAUCGUUUACAACAACUGUUGAAAAAAUGAUGUCAUUGGAAUGUUGACACAAAUAACAAAUUGGUCCUCCACAUCUAACUGGUUACAACAAUUCAACCAUGAUCAGAGACGUCUUCAUCAAAGAUAUAAGGUUAAGCAUACCUAAGUGGUACUACAUCAAGCUCAUGGUACUUCAAUCCUGAAAUUCUUGAAGCACAGGUCUACUACAACAAGUACACCUUUUCAAAUUUGCUCCUAUAUAAUCUUAUGUCCACAAUUCACUAGCAGUCUAAUAAGCUAGUAGCAUAGUUGUUUAGGCAUCCUUGAAGUGUCGCUUAGGUGACGCUUAGGCGGUAAGAAGCAGCGGCAAGGUGUCCCUCUCGCCUUAGACCAGAGACUAAGGCGUCCACCUUGGCUAGUAACGUGUCGCCAUGGCGCCUUGAAGUUUGCUAAGGCAUCGCUUUGAAGACGCCUUGAACGUCAGUAGGGAUGGAUUAAAGGGUUGCUGCAAUCAACAUGAUAUCUUCCACUCUCCCUUGUCGUUAAUACACAUCAACAAACUAUUUGGCAAAAACAACUUUCAGUCCAACUAAUAUUUUCCUUUCUUUUAUGCACAGAUAUUUGGUUUUUGCGCGCCUAUCAAAAGCACCAUCAGUUUUGAACCAUGAAUGUUUCCAUGUAAAUAUAAACUAACUGUUGCCCUCUCUAUGAAUCUGUAUAAGUUGACACAACACUUGCAGACACAUUGUUGCUAGCUCUUGAUCACGCUGGUUGAAUGCUACUUAAUAUAUAUUGUAGUCUCAAUUCACUCUACAACAGAUAUGAACUAUCG